GCAACAGUCAGGGCCAGGCCCCGAAUCCUCCACCAUCCCCGCCCCACGGGUACCGGGCCGAGGCUCCAGUUUCCUGCUGAAGCCAUUGGGAGAGAGGUGCUCUUUGGAUGAGAACCAUUGAGCGCCAAUCAACUUUCGUCACUCUUCGCCACACCUGACCCGGGUAUAGUCUCCUUGCCCUACACACAUAGCUCUCCCUGCGUGGAGCCACCUGGCAACGGGAGAGAGCGUGUCCGCUUCAAAGACAGGCUCUGGGGGUCCCAAGCCCCUGGAGAGGACGAUGGGCCUUAUCGCCUAGCCAAGCCAGCAGCACCCCAGGAUGGACACGCGGACCCCAGCCAGCCUCCUACUGUGCUUCCCCAAGAACACGGCUUCCCCCAGCAAAUGGGGUCUUCCACCACCUUUGGAAAGGAGGCUGCCUCUGGUUGGGUGGUGCUCUGAACAGCAGUCAAGACUCCAGGAAACAAGGCCCAAGCCCACAGGAAACACCCUGACCAGGCCCACCCGUGACUGACUGAAGGCAGGAAGAAAUCAACACAUCCCCUCUGGAGGCUGAAGGGAGCUGGAAAUGCUUGACUUUCCUCCCUCCCCUUCUAGUCUAAAAGAAGCCUGACUUCCAACUCAGCCAAGAUGGUUCUUUGGGACACCGGCCCACUGUCUUCUUGAUCUGCUGGCCCUCCAGA